rnacentral:rRNA from 1 species
GACGAACGCUGGCGGCGUGCCUAAUACAUGCAAGUGGGACGCAAGGUAACACACUGUGCUUGCACACCGUGUUUUCUUGAGUCGCGAACGGGUGAGUAACGCGUAGGUAACCUGCCUAUUAGCGGGGGAUAACUAUUGGAAACGAUAGCUAAUACCGCAUAAUAUUAAUUAUUGCAUGAUAAUUGAUUGAAAGAUGCAAGCGCAUCACUAGUAGAUGGACCUGCGUUGUAUUAGCUAGUUGGUAAGGUAAGAGCUUACCAAGGCGACGAUACAUAGCCGACCUGAGAGGGUGAUCGGCCACACUGGGACUGAGACACGGCCCAGACUCCUACGGGAGGCAGCAGUAGGGAAUCUUCGGCAAUGGACGAAAGUCUGACCGAGCAACGCCGCGUGAGUGAAGAAGGUUUUCGGAUCGUAAAGCUCUGUUGUAAGUCAAGAACGUGUGUGAGAGUGGAAAGUUCACACAGUGACGGUAGCUUACCAGAAAGGGACGGCUAACUACGUG